GACGAACGCUGGCGGCGUGCCUAAUACAUGCAAGUCGAGCGAAGCGGCGGAUGGGUGAGUAACGCGUGGGUAACCUGCCCUUAAGUCUGGAAUACCAUUUGGAAACAGAUGCUAAUACCGGAUACAUAAGGAUGGACCUUCUGUGCAUUAGCUGGUUGGUAAGGUAACGGCUUACCAGGGCGAUGAUGCAUGGCCGGCUGGAGAGACUAAUCGGCCACAUUGGGACGGGGAAACGGCCAAAACGCCUACGGGGGGCAGAAGUAGGGAAUCUUCCACAAGGGACGAAAGUCGGAGGAAGCAACGCCGCGGGAGGGAAGAAGGUUUUCGGAUCGAAAAGCUUGUUUGUUGGUGAAGCGGUAAUCAACCAGAAAGUCACGGCUAACUACGUGCCAGCAGCCGCGGUAAUUC
rnacentral:rRNA from 1 species